rnacentral:pre_miRNA from 1 species
AAACAGCCCCCUAUGUUUUGAUUCUUUUGCAGUUUUGGACCCCCAAGGCAAAAAUAAAAAAUAAAAAAUUUGACACGUGGCACCUAGCUUAGGGUGCCACGUCAGCGUUGACCGAGCCAACAAUAAAUUGGGGGUCCAAAACUUCCAAACAAUCAAAACAUAGGGGGCUGUUU